CGUCUCAGUUCGGAUUGCAGGCUGCAACUCGCCUGUAUGAAGUCGGAAUUGCUAGUAAUCGUGGAUCAGCAUGCCACGGUGAAUACGUUCCCGGGCCUUGUACACACCGCCCGUCACACCAUGAGAGCCGGGAACACCCGAAGUCCGUAGUCUAACCUAUAUGGAGGACGCGGCCGAAGGUGGGUUUGGUAAUUGGGGUGAAGUCGUAACAAGGUAAC
rnacentral:rRNA from 1 species